rnacentral:RNase_P_RNA from 2 species
CGAGCCGGGCGGACGGCCGCGUGAGGCCCCUCUGGGGCGCCUCCCGAGGAACGUCCGGGCUCCACAGGGCAGGGUGGUGGGUAACGCCCACCCGGGGUGACCCGCGGGACAGUGCCACAGAGAACAGACCGCCGGGGACCUCGGUCCCCGGUAAGGGUGAAACGGUGGUGUAAGAGACCACCAGCGCCUGAGGUGACUCAGGCGGCUCGGUAAACCCCACCCGGAGCAAGGUCAAGAGGGGUCGCCGCCCGAAAGGGACGGCGGCCCUGCGCGGACGAUCGAGGGCUGCCCGCCCGAGUCCGCGGGUAGACCGCAGGAGGCCGGUGGCAACACCGGUCCUAGAUGGAUGGCCGUCUCCCCGGCGACCGCGAGGUCAUCGGGUGACAGAACCCGGCGUACAGCCCGACUCGUCUG